rnacentral:lncRNA from 1 species
UUGAACAAUGUAUAAUAAAGACAUGAAUGAACAUUGUAGAUAUGAAUAUAUCUUCUAUCCACAUUGACCCAUACCAUGCUUGGGAGAAGCACUUGCCUUGCAGUUGAUUUGUUCUGAGACCAUGUGUUGAAACUAUAACAGUUGCUGUGUGGAAAAAAAACAUAGCCAUUCUAAAACACAUGAAACCUGCAGUGGAACUAUGUCCGUGACCAGGUUGCAGUAAACAUGAUGAAAAUUUUAACACCAAGUAAUAAAUGUUUAAGUUAACAGUU